rnacentral:lncRNA from 1 species
GAGCGAGACGUACAAGAUCUACAUCUUCAAGGUGCUCAAGCAGGUCCACCCCGACAUCGGCAUCUCCAGCAAGGCCAUGAGCAUCAUGAACUCCUUCAUCAACGACAUCUUCGAGAAGCUCGCUCAGGAGGCCUCCCGCCUCGCCCGCUACAACAAGAAGCCCACCAUCACCUCCCGCGAGAUCCAGACCUCGGUCCGCCUCGUCCUCCCCGGCGAGCUCGCCAAGCACGCCGUCUCCGAGGGCACCAAGGCCGUCACCAAGUUCACCAGCUCUUAGGGUUAGGGUUUGAUGGGGAUCUUCUCGAUCCGAUGAUGGGGAUGAUAUCUAGGGUUUCCUUUUUUUCUUUUUUCCCUUUUUCUUAGGGCUUUGGGUGAUGAUUGUGUAAUUGGAUGGUUUGAUGGAUGAGUGGGUAUGAUGUAAUACAUGGGUAGUUUUUCCUAUGUGAAGAAUAUAGAAG